GCAAGUCUUAGUAGAAAACAGUGUCUGAGAUGGUGUUCAGUAAAUGUUAUCUGUGUAAGAUGGAGUCACCUCAGUCUUCUCUUUUGGUAGCAUGUUCUCCAGCUUCUUAAUGAGCAGGACACAGAAGGUGCACUGGGGGCCGAUCUGCACCUAAUGUCAAAUCAAAACUUUAUUUGUACAGCCCUUUUCACAAGCCGUGUCGCCAAGGGCUUCACAGAAGCCCACAGCCUUGACAACCAGCCUGAAACGUUGCCAGAAAACUGUCGAGAGGAUAAAAGUUUUGACACUUCGGGGAGUAGCAAGUCUUUCUGCUGGCGCUAGCCUCUGGCACGAGACUGGACUCCUUGCCCGGAAGCAUCACUGACCCUCCUGUCAUCGGUUGAAGAGCACACAGCCCCAGGCCCAUACAAGCAUCACCCGACACCUACAGCCGCAUAAAGGGACAGGGUGGAUUAGACGCAGAACAGAGACAAUCUGCCGCAGCUUGUGGACAACAACCUCUGACUCUCACCAUUUGGGUUGUCAGGUACUUGUAGACUUUAGGAAGCUGCUCUUGCAGCAGGGAUUCACAAUUCGCUAUUUUCUGACUCCCUGGUAGACGUAUGCAGAAGAUGUCCAAAGUUCCGUAGAGGUACUCCUACAGGAACAGGUACACAGAAAGCUCAAAGUUAUGUAGAUAUAGUCCUACAAGAACAGUUAAACAGACAGCUCAAAGUUGCGUAGAUGUAGUCCUACAGGAACAGUGACAGAUGGCUAAAGGCUGGUGGAUGAAGAUGUAAGGUGCAAUGACAAAAAUAGGAAGAAGAUUUGUCACCCAUUUUCACUUCUCUUUCUGAGGACAUACAAGACUGUGACUGUUUAAGUUUGAAUCUAUUUAUCUCGAGAUAAUCUAUUAUCAAGGGAAUUUAAAAGAAGUGCCAUUUACAUUUAGCAGACGCUCUUAUCCAGAGCGACUUACAGUAAGUACAGGGACAUUUCCACGAGGCAAGUAGGGUGAAGUGUCUUUCCCAAGGACACAACGUCAGUUGGCA